rnacentral:rRNA from 1 species
ACGUAGGGGGCAAGCGUUGAUCGGAAUCACUGGGCUUACAGCGCGUGUAGGCGGGGCGAUAAGUCGUGCGUGAAAGCUCCCAGGCUUAACCGGGAGAGGACGUGCGAGACUGUGGUUCUGGAGGCAGGCAGAGGCAGGUGGAAUUCCGGGUGGAGUGGUGAAAUGCGUAGAUAUCACACGGAACGCCGGUGGUGAAAACGGGUCACUGGGCCUGUCCUGACGCUGAGACGCGAGAGCGUUGGGAGCAAACAG